rnacentral:pre_miRNA from 1 species
AGGCAGUGUAGUUAGCUGAUUGUGGAGCUAAGGGAACAAUCGCUAACUCACACUACCAUC